GGGGAAUAUUGCACAAUGGGCGAAAGCCUGAUGCAGCAACGCCGCGUGGAGGAUGAAGGCCUUCGGGUUGUAAACUCUUGUCUUCUGGGACGAUAAUGACGGUACCAGAGGAGGAAGCCACGGCUAACUACGUGCCAGCAGCCGCGGUAAUACGUAGGUGGCAAGCGUUGUCCGGAUUUACUGGGCGUAAAGGAUGCGUAGGCGGAUAUUUAAGUGAGAUGUGAAAUACCCGGGCUUAACUUGGGUGCUGCAUUUCAAACUGGAUAUCUGGAGUGCGGGAGAGGAGAGUGGAAUUCCUAGUGUAGCGGUGAAAUGCGUAGAGAUUAGGAAGAACACCAGUGGCGAAGGCGACUCUCUGGACCGUAACUGACGCUGAGGCAUGAAAGCGUGGGGAGCAAAC
rnacentral:rRNA from 1 species